AGAAGCUACCCAGAACACCACUGUUUGGUGGGAUAUGAUCAGAGGAAGGAGGGGAUGUACUGUCCAGAUUCCCAUCUGCCUGUGGUAGGGGCCCUGCUGCUCCCAUUCUGCCUCAGCAUCAAGCCUCUCGUGGUGGGGAACCAGAUCAGACGCUGCCGCUGCGGUUCUGGCGGCUCCAUUUCGGGCCAGGUGGCCAGCCACGUGCGCACCGUAUGCGCCACGGCCGCGCGACUGAGCGAGAGGCGGUGGCAUCAUGAAAGCGUCAUGUUCAUUAAAAAAAGUUGACCAAAACCUACACUUCAUAACUGGAAAAAAAGGACUUUACUUCAAAGCCGAGCUUAAAUGUCUACGCAUGUCUGCCUGUCUGGUUCCGUCUGGCAGUUUGGCAGGAAGCGGUGGAAACUCUGCUCCGUGUCUCCUCAAGGGCUGAAAAGAGAAGGCUGGUCCCAUUACACCACCGGAGACUAGGGUGACAGACGCUCAACAGACCUUCUUUUCCAAACCCACAGCUGAAUAGAAAAAACAGAGGAGGGUAUCCUUACCUUGAAGAUACAUUUACAUGCAAACGUGAUGGGACAGUUGUGUCAAACUGUUUUUUUUUCUCUACUAACCAAAUUUGUAUUUCAUAUCGAACAAUGACCAUGAGGUAAAUUCCCAAUGUCUAUUUAUUUAAUGUGAUUUUUUAUAGACAUAAUAGACAAUGCCACUAAACAUUUAACUUUUAAUUGCAUAUCAGCAGCACAGACACUCAAACAAGUGAUCAAAUUGGCAUAUCCAUUUGCCAUCUGUAGAUGAGUUAAUACAAAUGGCUGGACUGAACAGAACCAUAUGCACAAAAAGAGAUAAAAAGUCUUGUUUGUUCCAUUU